rnacentral:rRNA from 1 species
GAUGAACGCUGGCGGCGUGCUUAACACAUGCAAGUCGAACGAUGAAGCCCAGCUUGCUGGGUGGAUUAGUGGCGAACGGGUGAGUAACACGUGAGUAACCUGCCCUUAACUCUGGGAUAAGCCUGGGAAACUGGGUCUAAUACCGGAUAGGAGCGCCUACCGCAUGGUGGGUGUUGGAAAGAUUUAUCGGUUUUGGAUGGACUCGCGGCCUAUCAGCUUGUUGGUGAGGUAAUGGCUCACCAAGGCGACGACGGGUAGCCGGCCUGAGAGGGUGACCGGCCACACUGGGACUGAGACACGGCCCAGACUCCUACGGGAGGCAGCAGUGGGGAAUAUUGCACAAUGGGCGAAAGCCUGAUGCAGCGACGCCGCGUGAGGGAUGACGGCCUUCGGGUGGUAAACCUCUUUCAGUAGGGAAGAAGCGAAAGUGACGGUACCUGCAGAAGAAGCACCGGCUAACUACGU